GUAGGUGGCGAGCGUUGUCCGGAAUUAUUGGGCGUAAAGGGAGCGCAGGCGGGAAGGUAAGUCUAUCUUAAAAGUGCGGGGCUCAACCCCGUGAGGGGAUGGAAACUAUCUUUCUUGAGUGCAGGAGAGGAAAGCGGAAUUCCUAGUGUAGCGGUGAAAUGCGUAGAUAUUAGGAGGAACACCAGUGGCGAAGGCGGCUUUCUGGACUGUAACUGACGCUGAAGCUCGAAAGCGUGGGGAGCGAACAGGAUUAGAUACCCUGGUAGUCCACGCCGUAAACGAUGAAUGCUAGGUGUAGGAGGUAUCNACCCCUCCUGUGCCGGAGUUAACGCANUAANCAUUCCGCCUGGGGAGU
rnacentral:rRNA from 1 species